UACAGAGGGGGCAAGCGUUAUUCGGAAUUAUUGGGCGUAAAGAGCGUGUAGGCGGCUAGAUAGGUCCGUUGUGAAAACUCGAGGCUCAACCUCGAGACGUCGAUGGAAACCAUCUGGCUAGAGUCCGGAAGAGGAGAGUGGAAUUCCUGGUGUAGCGGUGAAAUGCGCAGAUAUCAGGAAGAACACCCGUGGCGAAGGCGGCCCUCUGGUACGUGACUGACGCUGAGACGCGAAAGCGUGGGGAGCAAACAGG
rnacentral:rRNA from 1 species